UUUGAAUAAUCGUUUUUAUCGAAGUUACAACGACUUCCAUAAUUUCAUAAAUCUCACCACCGAACCAACAUGCACUAAGUGGCACCGUCCACGGUGGCGCGUUGAGCAUGUUUGAUAAGCCACUCUAACAUAUCACCAAACACCAACUCCACAUUCUCUUCAGGUUCCCCAACUAACUGAUGCCACAUCCCAUCAUAUAUCUUCAGCGUCUUAUCUUUACUACCGGCGCGUGAGUACAACUCCUCUACACACGCCGGAUCGCAAACUAUGUCAUCGCCACCGUGCACAGCAAGAAACGGCACAUCCACUUCCUCAAACCUCCCCUGCAGCUCCCGACAAAUCCUCAACAACUCCUGCGCCGUCGCAGCACGUGGACGCGCCACUGUCCUCUUCGGACUCGCAAUUGCAAGCUUCCUCUUCCACUCCUCUUUAAAGGAAACAUCCGGAAUCGAUCCACGCGUGGGAACUACGCGCCACGUCGGAAUCACCGCAGCUGCGAGUGAGAGAAAAUGUUCCAAAGGCCACGGCGGUUUGAAUUUAUCACUAACUCCACACAUAGCACCGUUGAGGAUAAGUCCAUUCCACGGCAAUCCGCCUCGCCGGAGAGUUAUCAAAAGCGCGAUAGCUCCACCAAGAGACUCCGAAUACAGAAACGAAGGCAAAGAUGAAUCAAAUCGAGAUCGAAACGAUUCAAAGAACGAGAUACAAUCAUCAACAACGGGAUUGACAUCAGGAAUAUGAGCAAUUAAACCAUCAGAGAAACCAUGACCUUGAUGAUCAAUGGCGCAAGUGGCGAAUCCGGCUUUAGCAAAGUAGACGGCGGAGAGUUGGACAGUCCAGCUGGAUUCGCCGGUGUAGCCGUGGACGACGGCGAGGGUUCCGAUGAGUUUGGUUGGAGGAUUAGGGAUCCACCACUGAGUGAAGAGUUUAAGACCUCUUGAGUUGGUUAUGAACUCGGAGGCGUGAGUCACUGAGUGGCGAGUGUAGAAUUCUUCAGGAGUUAGGGUUCCGAAGGGGCUAUGAUCGUUGGCUUCUGCUAUUGGGUGCACCAUUUUGGAUAUUAACUCACUCAGUUAUGUGUGGAUAUAGUUAUAGUUUGAGUUUCGGCUAUAAUCAGCGUGUCCCAACUAGUUCUUCGACUUUUCUCCCCUUCAUUUACUUCUCUACUUGCUUUUCACUUACAUUUUUAUUUUUACUUUUUUAAUAUUUGGUUUUUACUUGAUAAAUAUUUUUCGCCUUUUUUUAUUAAGAAAUGAUAUUGUACAACCAUUUUC
rnacentral:lncRNA from 1 species